rnacentral:lncRNA from 1 species
CUAUUUGGAACAAAAAAGUUGACGAAAGGAAAAAAAAUUGUAGCAAUAAAGCUAUAUAUGGUUUAAGAAACUUUUUCAAUCUCUGGAUGAGUUAACUGUUGAGCAGAUUAAAUGAGCCUGAAAGACAUUGGCAUUGCCCAGCUUGCAAGAGAGGUCUUGGAGCUAUUGAUUGGUAUCAUAUAUCCUGCUGUGAAGGCUUAGCUUUCAUUGGAAUCACAAGGACAUCGAGGUAUGAGUGUAUUGAUUUUGGCGUGCGCCCUCUUUCCAAGAUUUAUUCAGAUGAAGUUAGAGCCCGGCCGUACAAGAAAGAUCACCCGCUUCUAUUCUGGUCAGUAUCAAUACAAAAAUCUAAACAAAUUAUAGACUAGUUACAAUAUCUUAUCAAGAAACAUAGGCCUUCAAUAAUUGAUAAAUCUUGUUACACCACAACUAACCUCAAAUAAAUAUGAGAAGCUCGAUUCGCAGUGGUAGAAGAUACAGUCCAUACUAUAUAGAUGGACAAGGCAAAGGACUGCAAGAUUAUAUGGAAGAUAUUGAAAUUGAUGAGAUCUCAAUAAAUAAUCAUCUUAAGGCCAAGAACGCGCUCAGACUAUUCUUGUCGAUUAUUUAAAAGAUCUCAUUAAUCCAUAUUGGAAAGAAGAUAAGAUCACUAGAGAUGUGUAGAAGAUGAACGGCCCGGAAAAUCGACCUAUACAUAUGAAAUCUUCACAUUCUAAGAGAUC